GAUGAACGCUGGCGGCGUGCCUAACACAUGCAAGUCGAACGGAGCCGUCUUGGAAAUCUCUUCGGAGAUGGAAUUCUCGACUUAGUGGCGGCCGGGUGAGUAACUCGUGAGCAAUCUGCCUUUAUGAGGGGGAUAACAGUCGGAAACGGCUGCUAAUACCGCAUAAAGCAUUACAUUCGCAUGUUUUUGAUGCCAAAGGAGCAAUCCGCUUUUAGAGGAGCUCGCGUCUGAUUAGCUAGUUGGCGGGGUAACGACCCACCAAGACGACGAUCAGUAGCCGCUCGGAGGGGAGGAGCAGCCGCAACGGGGCUGAGACGCGACCCAGACGCCUACGGGAGGAAGCAGUGGGGAGUAUUACGGAAUGGGGGACGCACUGACGCAGCAGCGCCGCGUGGUUGGAGAAGGACGUCGGGUUGUAAUAAAGUUUAAUCAGGGACGAAACAAAUGACGGUACCUGAAGAAUAAGCGCCGGCUAACUACGUG
rnacentral:rRNA from 1 species